UACGGAGGGUGCGAGCGUUGUCCGGAAUCACUGGGCGUAAAGGGCGCGUAGGCGGCAUGCCAAGCGUGUGGUGAAAGCCCGGGGCUCAACCCCGGGUCGGCCGUGCGGACUGGCGUGCUCGAGCACUGUAGGGGCGGGUGGAAUUCCGGGUGUAGCGGUGGAAUGCGUAGAGAUCCGGAAGAACACCGGUGGCGAAGGCGGCUCGCUGGGCAGUGGCUGACGCUGAGGCGCGACAGCGUGGGGAGCAAACAGG
rnacentral:rRNA from 1 species